rnacentral:lncRNA from 1 species
UGGGUGUUUGGGAGUGGAACUUCUGGGCUUUUAAGCCCAGAAGCCCACUUCCUCUCUUUUCUCAGGCGUUUGGCAAAUGAUGGUGAAGGGCUUAAAAAAGGUAAAAGAAGCCGGUAAAAUAAGCUACCAAUCGAGGCUUUUUUUGGACUGAACUUAUAACUUCUUUCACCCGUUCCUUCCUCCUCUUCACUUCCAAUUGUUUUUAUUUAUUUUUUAUUCUUCUGAUUUAUGUUAUCUCGUUCCAAAUAUUGAAUAUAAGAAUUUUUUUUAAUUUAAGUUUUUGUCUUCAAUUUUAUGAAAUAUUUAAAUAUAUUAAUAUUAUAUAUUAAUAUUUAUAUAAAUUUUUAAACACACUUAUAGAUCAUUUAAAUGUGAGACAAAGCAAACCAAAAAACAUUUUUUAUAUAAUAUAAAUAUUACUCUAAUCUAAACUUUUCUCAAUUUAUUUCGUAAAUAUCAAAUAAUUAUAUUACAAAAUUACGAAACUAUGCCAACUUAUAAGUUAAGUUAUCCAAACACUUAAAAACUUAUAAGUUACGGUGUCCAAACACUUGUAAUAACUUAUAAGUCUAAGUCAACUUCUCACUUUUAAUCAACUUCUUUACUUUAAGUAAUAAGUCACUUCUUUU